rnacentral:rRNA from 1 species
GCUAUGCAGUUGAGCGCUGAAGGUGGUACUUGUACCGACUGGAUGAGCAGCGAACGGGUGAGUAACGCGUGGGGAAUCUGCCUUUGAGCGGGGGACAACAUUUGGAAACGAAUGCUAAUACCGCAUAACAACUUUAAACACAAGUUUUAAGUUUGAAAGAUGCAAUUGCAUCACUCAAAGAUGAUCCCGCGUUGUAUUAGCUAGUUGGUGAGGUAAAGGCUCACCAAGGCGAUGAUACAUAGCCGACCUGAGAGGGUGAUCGGCCACAUUGGGACUGAGACACGGCCCAAACUCCUACGGGAGGCAGCAGUAGGGAAUCUUCGGCAAUGGACGAAAGUCUGACCGAGCAACGCCGCGUGAGUGAAGAAGGUUUUCGGAUCGUAAAACUCUGUUGGUAGAGAAGAACGUUGGUGAGAGUGGAAAGCUCAUCAAGUGACGGUAACUACCCAGAAAGGGACGGCUAACUACGUGCCAGCAGCCGCGGUAAUACGUAGGUCCCGAGCGUUGUCCGGAUUUAUUGGGCGUAAAGCGAGCGCAGGUGGUUUAUUAAGUCUGGUGUAAAAGGCAGUGGCUCAACCAUUGUAUGCAUUGGAAACUGGUAGACUUGAGUGCAGGAGAGGAGAGUGGAAUUCCAUGUGUAGCGGUGAAAUGCGUAGAUAUAUGGAGGAACACCGGUGGCGAAAGCGGCUCUCUGGCCUGUAACUGACACUGAGGCUCGAAAGCGUGGGGAGCAAACAGGAUUAGAUACCCUGAGUCCACGCCGUAAACGAUGAGUGCUAGAUGUAGGGAGCUAUAAGUUCUCUGUAUCGCAGCUAACGCAAUAAGCACUCCGCCUGGGGAGUACGACCGCAAGGUUGAAACUCAAAGGAAUUGACGGGGGCCCGCACAAGCGGUGGAGCAUGUGGUUUAAUUCGAAGCAACGCGAAGAACCUUACCAGGCUGACAUACUCGUGCUAUUCCUAAGAUAGGAAGUUCCUCGGCGGGUACGGGGCAUGUCGUCAGCUCGGUCGUGAAGGAGUCCCGAACCCUCUUAGUGACUCUAACUGAAGGA